rnacentral:rRNA from 1 species
UGGGGAAUAUUGGACAAUGGGGGAAACCCUGAUCCAGCAAUGCCGCGUGUGUGAAGAAGGCCUUAGGGUUGUAAAGCACUUUUGUUAGGGAGGAAGGUUUGGAGAAUAAUACACUCUGAAAUUGACGUUACCUAAAGAAUCAGCACCGGCUAACUCUGUGCCAGCAGCCGCGGUAAUACAGAGGGUGCAAGCGUUAAUCGGAAUUACUGGGCGUAAAGGGUCUGUAGGCGGAUUAUUAAGUCGGAUGUGAAAUCCCCGAGCUCAACUUGGGAACGGCAUUUGAUACUGGUAGUCUAGAGUAUGCAAGAGGAUGGGGGAAUUCCUGGUGUAGCAGUGAAAUGCGUAGAGAUCAGGAGGAACAUCAAUGGCGAAGGCACCUAUCUGG